GCCCUUGUCCCCUAGAGGCAAAGCGCCCCCGAUCCCUUCUUCCAAAUACACUCUUUUGUCUCAUCUUUAUUCCCGUGUUCACCCCACUUUGUUUAGUCCACCUAGGUCCGUGCAGGUUACAAAUGGCAACCAGAACAGGGACUCCAAGCACGCCCAACUAGCAGCAUCCAAACAUGGGACUUCAAGGACGUGAAUGAAGAAGGUCUGCUGGAGCAGAGGAACUGAAAUUGACAAGGCGAAAGGGGACCCUGGGAAGAGUCUGCCGGCAGCAGAUAUAAGUCUGUAAAAUCGGAUGGACCACCAAUUGGAGAAUGAGAGCCUCCCAGCCCAGCCUUACAUUCUUUCAAUUAAUACAUAAACAGAAAGGGGGAUAUGCAGGGAGCCAAAGGCCUGUGGGACGUGACCAACUCAGCAUUCUGCUGGAGGCUAUAUGAUCAAACAGCAAACUGUUUAUCAUGAAUACAGGAUGUGAGCAAACUCAGGACUGCUCCUGCCAACAUAAGGUUUGCUGGAGGCAAUCACUCCCUGGCACCGAGGUUAUCUACUGCGACAUCUAGAGAAUGCAGUCUUGCAAGCCUACUCUGAACUGAGCAGCCGACCCCUUCUUCCACCCCCCCACCCUCCUAUCUCUUUUGCCUAAUAAAUACGGAGGGCUGUGUAAAGCUCAGGGCCCUUGUCCACUAGAGGUAAGGUGCUCCCUGACCCCUUCUCCCAAAUAUACUCUUUUGUCUCCUGUCUUUAUUCCCACGUUCACCCCCAUUUGUGCAGUCCCAUGGGUCCAUGUGGGUUACGGCCCGCCACCGCGCCUGGCUGAUUUUUGUAUUUUUAGUAGAGAUCGGAUUUCAGCAUCUUGGUCAGGCUGGCCUUCAACUCCGGAUCUCAUCACACACCCGCCUCAGCCUCCCCACAUGCGGUUAUUAUAGUUGAUAUGUCUGAACCAAAAUGAUAUGGGAAGCUUGAGAAUAAAAGGUUGGAGACAAUAUGCCACAGAGAGAGUAACCAAAGAUAAUCUGUUAUAACUAUAUCUCAGACAAAACUGACCAGAAAUCCUAAAGAAUUAACAGAGAGAAAGAGAAACAAUGCUCACUGAAAAGAGGUGAAAUUUGGCUCUUCAUUCAUAGAAAUACACCAUAUGUAUACCCCUAACAACAGUCUUGAAAUGUAUACAGCAAAAAAUAGAACCAAAAACAAGAAAUAGAAAAUUCAGACUAAAGACUUUAACAGACCUUUCCUAGUAACUGACAGAACAGACCAUCAACAAACAAAAUAAAAUUUAUAAAUGAGAAAGAAAUGAAUCUUUUAUCUGAGGAAUGUGACUCCCUUUAAAUUAUCAGGUCUAGAGAGGCAUUAAAAUGUGACAGCAGUCUUUCUGAUAGGGGUUCCCCUGAAAAAAAGAAAAAAGAAAAAAUUAAAAACUAAAAAAAAAAUUUAAUGUGACAAUAGUCACAUCUCAUUUCCCCCUCAAGCUAAAUAAUUAUCUCUUAAAGCCACUUGCUAUGUAGGCUCUAGACUAACUCACACUGAGUAGCCAUAAAAUGCCAUUCACUGGACAUCCUAACUCAUAAAACCCCAUAGUUAACAAUGUACAGCCAAUUGUUAAUUGAUAUUAUUUCUGUAAACCAAUGAGAAUUCUUGCCAAACAACUUUAUGUCAGCUCACGGUUUGUUCCCUUUUGACUUUAAAACCUGUUUCUAACAAAAUCCUAACAGAGCACUUAACCAAGGCAACCUGAAAGUAUUUUCCCAGGCAGCUGUCCUCAUUUUGGCUCAAGUAAACUCUUUAAAAUUGUAUUUUGUGCAGUUUCCUCUUUUAGGCUGACAUAAACGAUAUCAUUUAGAAGAACUCGAAUAUAUUUUUAAAAUUAGAUUUACUGAGAUAAAUUUUAACAGUUUUAAAUAAAUGCAAAGAUGUACUAUAAAGAUGGGCUGGAAAACAAAGCAU
rnacentral:lncRNA from 1 species